rnacentral:rRNA from 1 species
GAUGAACGCUAGCUGCAGGCUUAACACAUGCAAGUCGAGGGGAAACGGCAUCGAAAGCUUGCUUUUGAUGGGCGUCGACCGGCGCACGGGACAUGAACGCGUAUCCAACCUGCCCAUCACUUGUGAAUGAACUUGCGAAAGUAAGACUAAUGCCCCAUGUGAUCCCACGAAGGCAUUCGAAUGGGAUGGAGGAUGUAUCUGUAAUGGAUGGGGAUGCGUGUGAUUAGCUUGUUGGCGGGGUGACUGCCCACCAAGGCAACGAUCAGUAGGGGUUCUGAGAGGAAGCUGCCCCAGAUUGGAACUGAGACAAGGUCCAAACUGCUACGGGAGGGAGCAGUGAGGAAUACUGGUGAAUGGGCGAGAGCAUGAACCAGCCAAGUAGCGUGCAGGAAGACGGCGCUCUGGGUUGUAGCCUGCUUUUAUAAGGCAAUAAAGUGGGUCACGUGUGACUUUUUGACGGUACCUGAUGAAUAAGCACCGGCUAACUACGUG